CGGCAAUAGCUCAAAUUUGAAAGCUGGCGCCUUCGGCGUCCGCGUUGUAAUUUGUAGAGGAUGCUUCGGCGAGGACUCCUGCCUAAGUUCCCUGGAAUGGGACGUCACAGAGGGUGAGAAUCCCGUAUGUGGCGGGCGGUCCAAGCCAUGUGAAGCUCCUUCGACGAGUCGAGUUGUUUGGGAAUGCAGCUCUAAAUGGGAGGUAAAUUUCUUCUAAAGCUAAAUACCGGCCAGAGACCGAUAGCGCACAAGUAGAGUGAUCGAAAGAUGAAAAGCACUUUGGAAAGAGAGUUAAAAAGUACGUGAAAUUGUUGAAAGGGAAGCGCUUGCAACCAGACUCGCUCGCAGUUGCUCAGCCCGCCUCCUGGCGGGUGUACUCUUCUGCGAUCGGGCCAGCAUCAGUUCGGGCGGCCGGAUAAAGGUGUCGGGAAUGUAGCACCCUUCGGGGUGUGUUAUAGCCCGGCGCGGAAUGCGGCCAGCCUGGACUGAGGAUCUCGCUUCGGCAAGGAUGCUGGCGUAAUGGUUGUAAGCGGCCCGUCUUGAAACACGGACCAAGGAGUCUAACAUCUAUGCGAGUGUUUGGGUGUCAAACCCAUGCGCGUAAUGAAAGUGAACGGAGGUGGGAACCCGCAAGGGUGCACCAUCGACCGAUCCUGAUGUCUUCGGAUGGAUUUGAGUAAGAGCAUAGCUGUUGGGACCCGAAAGAUGGUGAACUAUGCCUGAAUAGGGUGAAGCCAGAGGAAACUCUGGUGGAGGCUCGCAGCGGUUCUGACGUGCAAAUCGAUCGUC
rnacentral:rRNA from 1 species